rnacentral:rRNA from 1 species
AGCCUGAACGCUGGCGGCGUGGUUAAGACAUGCAAGUCGUACGGUGUAGCAAUACACAGUGGCGAACGGGUGAGUAAUGAAUCGCUAAUGUACCCCGGACUCUGGGAUAGCUGCCCGAAAGGGCAGGUAAUACCAGAUGACAUAUCCCUUCCGCAUGGUUGGGAUCUCAAAGGUCCGCCGGUCUGGGAGCAGGCGAUUUUGUAUCAGCUAGUUGGUGAGGUAACGGCUCACCAAGGCGAUGACGCAUA